AUUAAAAUUGGAUUGGAUUGGAUCUUGCACAACCCUAAAACCUGUUGUCGGCAGUGUAUUCAAUCCAUACUUAUGUGGUGUUUUAUGAUUUUAAUGGAAUUUAAAAGUUUGGAGGUAUUCAACUCAAAUUUUUAAAGACUUUAUAAAAAUCUAGUGGUAUUCAAUUGUAACUUUUAAAAAGUCUUUAAAUACUUAGCGGUAUCCAAAUAUUUAGUGACUUUUAUGGUUGGGACUUGGGUUUCACAAAGUCUCAUCUUAAAGUUCCACGUAAUUUCUGAAGUUCCUUCUUUGGAGUUGCCAAAUGGGUUACCUGGUCUACAUGAAAUUAUAAGUGCCAGGAGAGCCCAAAUCUUGUCCAAAGUGACUAUCCAAACGAACCCUUAAGAGUUUGUUAAAUAGCGAAUUUAUUAUAAGGGUGAAGAGUAAGACCAAAAGUUCGGCCAAUUCACUAGAUCUAUGUAAAAUGCGGAGAAAUUAUUGUAUGGUAUAUGAAUGUGGUAGUGUGCUAUAUUGGGUUUCACAUUUGGAUGGAGGUAUACUGAUGUUCUCUAAUACCAACUUCGAGCAUAUAAGACUCCAUUUGGAUGGAGGGAUUCUAAAUUGAUGAAUUUAGACAACAUUAUAAAGUAAAAUUAUUUGUAUCGACUAUUACAAUUCAUGUAUGCCAAGAAUUGGACAAGAGAAAAAAAAAAAAAAUUAUAACUCAAAUUAUUCGUUGCAUAUAGUCACUUCAAAUGUACUACAUUUAGUUAUUUCAAAUAUAUUCAAUCUAAUGUGGUUCUUGUUCUUAUAGCAAAUUUGGGCUCGUCUAAUCCAAAUAAUUCCUUUCAAAU
rnacentral:lncRNA from 1 species